AGCUCCAAUAGCGUAUACUAAAGUUGUUGCAGUUAAAAAGCUCGUAGUCGAAUUCGGGUCCCUGUGCGCGGCCGGUCUAGUAUUGACCCCUUCGCGCGCAGGGCCCAACCUUGUUGUCCCAAAGGUCCACCUUUGAUUGGGUGGCCAAGCGACAACAUUUUUUACUGUGAACAAAAUAGAGUGUUCAUGGCAGGCCUUUAGAUGGCUUAGAUACCUCAGCAUGGAAUAAUAGAAUAGGACUUCCGGUUCUAUUUUGUUGGUUUUUGGAGCCGAAGUAAUGAUUAAUAGGGAUAGUUGGGGGCACUCGUACUCCGUUGUCAGAGGUGAAAUUCUUGGAUUUACGGAAGACGGACAACUGCGAAAGCAUCUGCCAAGGAUGUUUUCAUUG
rnacentral:rRNA from 1 species